AUUUUGUCCUUCUAAAUCCAGACCCUUCAUCUUUUCCCUCUUGAAUUUUGAGCCUUCAUUUUGAGGCCCCUGUUCCCUAUAAAUAUAAAAAAUUUUACUAUUGAAGGGGUCCUUUUUCCGACAAAAGAGCUUAAAGAAUAUAGGUAGGAGGCUUUAGAAACGUCAAUUUUCUAAAGAAUCCUUAUUGUAGUGUCAGCAUCAAAUAGCUUGCUUUCUCCGAAAAUACCCUGACCCGUCACCUCCAAAAAUCAACUUGAUAGUGCUUUAGCCCUGUUUCUGUACUCCAUACAUCAUGGUUCACUUACCUUGUCAUUGUCAGAGCCCCUUUCCAUGUAAAACUCUUAACGUCUACAUUUUUCUUCGAGGGAUAGUUUCAAUCAUCCACAAUGUUACGUUAGAAUCCAAGCUCUAUAAAUAUUUAGUCAUGAUUGAACUCUUAGGGAAAUAUUGUUAAGUUUGAUUUAAGCUUCUUUUUUAAUUAGGUUGUUGUGGUACCGUCAUUUCUAUCCUUUUACUUUUUAUUCAUAAGCAUAUUUUAUUAGUGUUGAAAUCAUAGUUUGAGUUCGGAUAAAAUAAGAGGUUAUAGUCAGAGUCCAUAUGUAAUAAAGAGUGAAGAGAGUUCGAGUAUGAUGGUAAGAGAUCGGAAAUAACAAAGGCGAAAUGUCAGGAUGAGAUGGGAUAUGGUGCGUUUAGUAAAUUUGGGAGAUUAGGAAUAACGCACAUAUAGUUGUCGUUUAAAUGCAUGCAUUUACG
rnacentral:misc_RNA from 1 species